rnacentral:rRNA from 1 species
UAACGCGGGGCAACCUGGCGACGAGUGGCGAACGGGUGAGUAAUAUAUCGGAACGUGCCCAGUAGUGGGGGAUAGCCCGGCGAAAGCCGGAUUAAUACCGCAUACGACCUACGGGUGAAAGCGGGGGAUCGCAAGACCUCGCGCUAUUGGAGCGGCCGAUAUCAGAUUAGCUAGUUGGUGGGGUAAAAGCCUACCAAGGCGACGAUCUGUAGCUGGUCUGAGAGGACGACCAGCCACACUGGGACUGAGACACGGCCCAGACUCCUACGGGAGGCAGCAGUGGGGAAUUUUGGACAAUGGGCGCAAGCCUGAUCCAGCCAUGCCGCGUGCGGGAAGAAGGCCUUCGGGUUGUAAACCGCUUUUGUCAGGGAAGAAACGGUCUGAUCUAAUACAUUGGACUAAUGACGGUACCUGAAGAAUAAGCACCGGCUAACUACGUGCCAGCAGCCGCGGUAAU